rnacentral:tRNA from 1 species
CCGUAGCUCAGCUGGAUAGAGCACCUGGCUACGAACCAGGUGGUCGGAGGUUCGAAUCCUUCCGGG